CUACGGGGGGCAGCAGUGGGGAAUAUUGGACAAUGGGGGAAACCCUGAUCCAGCAAUGCCGCGUGUGUGAAGAAGGCCUGCGGGUUGUAAAGCACUUUCGGUUGGGAGGACUGCUUCUAGCACUAAUAUUGUUGGAAGUUGACGUUACCUUCAGAAGAAGCACCGGCUAACUCCGUGCCAGCAGCCGCGGUAAUACGGAGGGUGCAAGCGUUAAUCGGAAUUACUGGGCGUAAAGCGCGCGUAGGCGGCUAGAUCAGUCGGGUGUGAAAGCCCCGGGCUGAACCUGGGAACUGCAUCCGAUACUGUCUAGCUUGAGUACAGGAGAGGAGAGUGGAAUUCCACAUGUAGCGGUGAAAUGCGUAGAUAUGUGGAGGAACACCAAUGGCGAAGGCAGCUCUCUGGCCUGAUACUGACGCUGAGGUGCGGAAGCGUGGGGAGCAAACAGGAUUAGAUACCCGGGUAGUC
rnacentral:rRNA from 1 species